rnacentral:rRNA from 1 species
AGUGGCGGACGGGUGAGUAACACGUAAGAAUUUGCCUUUAGGAGGGGGACAACAACUGGAAACGGUUGCUAAUACCCCAUAUGCUUUCGAGUGAAAUGGAUUUCCGCCUAAAGAGAAGCUUGCGGCUGAUUAGCUUGUUGGUAGGGUAAUGGCCUACCAAGGCGACGAUCAGUAUCUGGUUUGAGAGGACGAUCAGACACAAUGGAACUGAGACACGGUCCAGACUCCUACGGGAGGCAGCAGUAGGGAAUUUUCCGCAAUGGGCGAAAGCCUGACGGAGCAAUACCGCGUGAGGGAUGACUGCCUAUGGGUUGUAAACCUCUUUCUUCAGGGAGGAAUAAAUGACGUGUACCUGAAGAAUAAGCAUCGGCUAACUCCGUGCCAGCAGCCGCGGUAAGACGGAGGAUGCAAGUGUUAUCCGGAAUCACUGGGCGUAAAGCGUCUGUAGGUGGCUCGGCAAGUCAACUGUUAAAUCUUGAAGCUCAACUUCAAAAUCGCAGUCGAAACUAUCGAACUAGAGUAUAGUAGAGGUAAAGGGAAUUUCCAGUGGAGCGGUGAAAUGCGUAGAGAUUGGAAAGAACACCGAUGGCGAAGGCACUUUACUGGGCUAUUACUGACACUCACAGACGAAAGCUAGAGUAGCACAUGGGAUUAGAUACCCCAGUAGUCCUAGCUGUAAACAAUGGAUACUAGGUGUUGA